UACGGAGGAUCCGAGCGUUAUCCGGAUUUAUUGGGUUUAAAGGGUGCGCAGGCGGGGGAUUAAGUCGGCGGUGAAAUUUUGCAGCUCAACUGUAAAAGUGCCUUCGAAACUGGUUUCCUUGAGUGUAGAUGAAGUAGGCGGAAUUUGUGGUGUAGCGGUGAAAUGCAUAGAUAUCACGAGGAACUCCGAUUGCGCAGGCAGCUUACUAAACUACUACUGACGCUCAGGCACGAAGGCGUGGGGAUCAAACAGGAUUAGAUAUCCCCGUAGUCCCU
rnacentral:rRNA from 1 species